GCCGGGAUGGUGUAACAGGCAGCCACGAUGGACUCAAAAUCCAUUGCUCGAAAGGGCGUGCGGGUUCGACUCCCGCUCCCGGCACCA
rnacentral:tRNA from 1 species